rnacentral:rRNA from 1 species
UAAUACGGAGGGUGCAAGCGUUGUUCGGAAUUAUUGGGCGUAAAGCGCGCGCAGGCGGCUGCGCAAGUCUGAUGUGAAAGCCCCGGGCUCAACCUGGGAAGUGCAUCGGAAACUGCGUAGCUUGAGUACGGGAGAGGGAAGCGGAAUUCCGAGUGUAGGGGUGAAAUCCGUAGAUAUUCGGAAGAACACCAGUGGCGAAGGCGGCUUCCUGGACCGAUACUGACGCUGAGGCGCGAAAGCGUGGGGAGCAAACAGGAUUAGAUACCCUGGUAGUCCACGCCGUAAACGAUGGGUACUAGGUGUCGCGGGUAUUGACCCCUGCGGUGCCGAAGCUAACGCAUUAAGUACCCCGCCUGGGGAGUACGGCCGCAAGGCUA